rnacentral:lncRNA from 1 species
AGAAAAGACUGCGGCUUAUGGCUAGCGAAUCUUUCCGUGCUCUCCUGCAUUUUCAAGAUCAUUUUGUCAUUGUAUUGCUGCAGCCAAUGCAGAUCCAAAUGCUGUGGCUACAAAGGCUUGUUGCUUUCUUGUGCUGGAUCCUGUGAAUCCAAGAGCUACUUGGCAGUUUCCAAGGCAACCACCUGUGGAAUAAUUAAGAAAGAUGAAGCAUCAGUAUGUCAGAUAUAGGGAAUUUUUGCCUGGAGAGAGCACUUCAUUUUCAUCUGUCUUGAAGAACUGAAAGCAUUUCUGCCAGCAAAGUUAAGAAGAAAAAAUGGUGACUGAGUUGUACAGRAGAACCAGGACAAUCCAAAAAGGGCAGGUGGCUGCUGGGAAGCUACUGCAGGAAAGGAGGUUUACUAACGUGUUCGAGGCCUGGAAUUACGCAGUGGAGCAGUAUAUUUUAGAAGCUAUGGAGAAAGUUCAGAACAACAUGGCUAAAAGAUUCUGA